rnacentral:rRNA from 1 species
CCGGAUCAGUGGCGAACGGGUGAGUAACACGUGGGCAACCUGCCCUUCACUCUGGGAUAACCCCGGGAAACCGGGGCUAAUACCGGAUACGACCCCUGCAGGCAUCUGCGGGGGUGGAAAGUUUUUCGGUGAAGGAUGGGCCCGCGGCCUAUCAGCUUGUUGGUGAGGUAGUGGCUCACCAAGGCGACGACGGGUAGCCGGCCUGAGAGGGCGACCGGCCACACUGGGACUGAGACACGGCCCAGACUCC